rnacentral:rRNA from 1 species
CGGCGUAAAGAGUGGUUAUGGAACCCGCCCCCACUAAAGCUAAAGAGCCCCUAAGCUGUUAUACGCACUUGGAAGCUUGAACCCCUGACACGAAAGUAGCUUUACCUUCUCCUGAACCCACGAUAGCUGGGGCACAAACUGGGAUUAGAAACCCCACUAUGCCCUGCCGUAAACUUAGAUAUUUAAUCACAACAAAUAUCCGCCUGGGGACUACGAGCGUUAGCUUAAAACCCAAAGGACUUGGCGGUGCUUCAGACCCCCCUAGAGGAGCCUGUUCUAGAACCGAUAACCCCCGUUCAACCUCACUAUUCCUUGCUUUUCCCGCCUAUAUACCGCCGUCGCCAGCUUACCCUGUGAAGGUAUUACAGUAAGCAAAACGGGCAUUGCCCAGAACGUCAGGUCGAGGUGUAGCGUACGGAGUAGGAAGAAAUGGGCUACAUUAUCUGAGACAGAUUAUUCACGGAGGGUCACCUGAAACGGCGACCCGAAGGUGGAUUUAGCAGUAAGGGGAGAAUAGAGCGCCCCCCUGAAGCCGGCUCUGAAGCGCGCACACACCGCCCGUCACUCUCCCCAACAGCA